UUCCUACGGGAGGCAGCAGUGAGGAAUAUUGGUCAAUGGGCGGAAGCCUGAACCAGCCAAGUCGCGUGAGGGAAUAAGGCCCUACGGGUCGUAAACCUCUUUUGAGGGGGAGCAAGGGCCGGGACGCGUCCCGGCCCGAAGAGUACCCGGAGAAAAAGCAUCGGCUAACUCCGUGCCAGCAGCCGCGGUAAUACGGAGGAUGCGCGAGUUAUCCGGAUUUAUUGGGUUUAAAUGGUGCGUAGGCGGGCUUUUACGUCAGCGGUAAAAAUUCGGGGCUCAACCCCGUCC
rnacentral:rRNA from 1 species